GAACUACUCGCGCAUUGAACUGAGAAUGCCAUUGGUGGAGUAAGUACGUCAAGGGACGAAACAGAAUUAAUUUUGAUUAACAUUUUAUUAACCUUCAACUCUACCUUGGCUUAUGGAAGUUCGUGAAGGUCACAGGGCAAGGACUAGUCUGCUGGUUGCUGCCACAGUCAAUUGGGACUCUCCCAAGUUAUUCUCAGCUGCAGCAUUCCGAAGUUAUUCAAUGUUGCAGCCGAGAAUAUUAUGGGGACAGUCCAUUGGUCACAACAGCCAGCCGAUUACACCUUGUAUGAGUGCCCCAACUGGUGUGAGUUUCAUGAACUGCCAGAAGCCAAAACAGAGUUGCAACGCUAAUAAAACAUUAUGCAAAAUUAAUUCCAUUUUGUUGGUUGACAUACUUCAUCCGCUAAUAGCACGCUUAGUUCAAUUUGCUAAUGGUUC
rnacentral:pre_miRNA from 1 species